UUCCUCACUACUAAUGUUCACCACAUAAUGUAAACAAACAGUGUAUGGCAUGUCAAAAAAAUUUCCAAUUGAAAAUUUAAUCAUUUAUUUAUUGAAUAAAUAUUGUACGUCAAUGUUGUGCGAUCGGUUGCUUUCCCCAUUAGUUCAGAUCGUCGUCGUAAAUGAUCUAUUGGUGCUGGUAUGAGUCAAAUAAAACCAAGCUCAAGGUUAUGUGAUAUAUAUUUAUGAAAAUCCAUUAUGAUGAAUCUCAAUAUGAACAACAUCGUCAGGAUGGCUCAAAAAAAAUUAAAACCAAAUGCAGUACCAACUUUGUUUGGUGAUGUUUUGAUAGAUUAUUUGAGUAAAAUCCACCAAAAUAAAAGUAACUACAUGAUGUUAGUUGGACUUCAUUUGAAUCACUAAAGCAGUUGUCAACAAUAAACUUAGGUAAAUCUGAUGUGCAAAUACCGGUAUUUUAUUUUUUGAAAUUCAGUGAAAUUUUCGAUACCAAUACUGUAUUUACAACUAUAGAGAUGUUACUCAUGGUAUUGAAAAAUAAAAAAUAUAUGAACAUAACUUGAUUUUAUUGUAUAAAUAAAAAUAAAUACAUACGAAGUUAUAGAUGAUAAAUAAAUUCAAUAAAUAAAUUCAGUAAAUAAAUUAUAUAGCAAAAUUAAAAUAUAAAAAAAAAAAAUAUUUGUCCUUAAAAAAAUAAGGUUUUUUUAAAUAAAAAAAGUUAGUAUUAUUGGAAGAAGUAUUUAUAUUAAUAAAUUUUCAUUACACUUAAAAA